UCAGAUAGUGACCCUUUUUCUAAAGGGGAGCUGUGCAUGCUGGGACCUGUGGUCUCCGAGGGCUAUGUGCAGUGAACGUUAUUUCAACGCUUUGCAGGGCCACGGUUUCCUGCCUGGUUACCAAAGUGCUCUACCAGUCCCGACACGUUCCGGCCCGCUCCUUCCUCUCCGGAUCCUUAAUUUGAUAUCCUCCCGGCUGCGCCUCGCCCCUCCCGACACGCCCCCAGCCUGUAUGUCUCAACAUUCCGUGCGGCUCGCCUCUCCAGUUCUUUGUGCUAGCCGUUCCCUCCGCUCGGAAUGCUUUUGUUCCCUCGUCUAACAACUCUCUUUAAGUCAGCUCAAAAGCAUCUCCUUGAAAUCGGCUUUGGCCACACCAGACCGAUGUAAAUUGUCCCUCCUGUUUGCGUCUUGUCCAUCUCUCUUCUUUAUUUUCGCUCUAUAGCCUACUUUUUGGUUUAAGAACUUCCUUGUGUGAACUCAAACACUUGAGAAAAGUAGUUUCCUUUUUCGGUGCUAUCUUUUGUUACAUGCUUAUGAUAUCUUUUUUUGAUAUCCUCAUGGCCUGGCAGAGAUUGUAUUCUCAAAAAACAUUUGAUGAAUGGAUGAACAACUGUAUGGAAGCCAAAUAAAAGGAAUUCUUUACUGGCA